rnacentral:rRNA from 1 species
AUUGAACGCUGGCGGCAUGCCUAACACAUGCAAGUCGAACGGCAGCACGGGAGCUUGCUCCUGGUGGCGAGUGGCGGACGGGUGAGUAAUGCAUAGGAAUCUGCCCAGUAGCGGGGGACAACUUGGGGAAACUCAAGCUAAUACCGCAUGCGCCCUACGGGGGAAAGCGGGGGACCUUCGGGCCUCGCACUAUUGGAUGAGCCUAUGUCAGAUUAGCUUGUUGGUGGGGUAACGGCCUACCAAGGCGACGAUCUGUAGCUGGUCUGAGAGGACGAUCAGCCACACUGGGACUGAGACACGGCCCAGACUCCUACGGGAGGCAGCAGUGGGGAAUGUUGCACAAUGGGCGAAAGCCUGAUGCAGCAAUGCCGCGUGUGUGAAGAAGGCCUGCGGGUUGUAAAGCACUUUCAGUAGGAGGAAACAGUAGCCGGUUAAUAUCCGGUUGCCUUGACGUUACCUACAGAAGAAGCACCGGCUAA